UAGUCGGGAUCGAACCUCGUCUGGUCUUUGCAUCGGACACCAUCCCCAGCUCUUUGACUCCGGAUGAGCUCUCACUGAUAAGGAUUUAGUAUGGGAUUCCUCCAGAGUACGAGUUGGAGCUUCCCGGGCCAACUGACCAGGCUAGUGCCCCUCCUCUCGAUCACUUCUGUCUGUACCAAGAGGCCUUCCGUGCCAAACUUUGGCUUCCACUUCCACCUUUUGUCAUCAUCCUCUUUCAUUUUCUAAAUAUUUCUCU
rnacentral:lncRNA from 1 species